GACGAACGCUGGCGGCGUGCUUAACACAUGCAAGUCGAACGCGCCUGUCCUCUGGGUUUCUGGGGGGUGGGUGAGUGGCGAACGGGUGAGUAACACGUGAGUAACCUGCCCCCUUCUUCGGGAUAACGGUCUGAAAGGGCUGCUAAUACCGGGUAUUCACUGGUCUCCGCAUGGGGUCUGGUGGAAAGGUUUUUUUCUGGUGGGGGAUGGGCUCGCGGCCUAUCAGCUUGUUGGUGGGGUGAUGGCCCACCAAGGCUUUGACGGGUAGCCGGCCUGGGAGGGUGACCGGUCACAUUGGGACUGAGAUACGGCCCAGACUCCUACGGGAGGCAGCAGUGGGGAAUAUUGCACAAUGGGCGCAAGCCUGAUGCAGCGACGCCGCGUGAGGGAUGGAGGCCUUCGGGCUGUGAACCUCUUUCGCCCGUGGUCAAGCCGCGACGUGGGUCGUGGUGAGGGUAGUGGGUAAAGAAGCGCCGGCUAACUACGUG
rnacentral:rRNA from 1 species